UCCUACGGGGAGGCAGCAGUAGGGAAUCUUCCGCAAUGGACGAAAGUCUGACGGAGCAACGCCGCGUGAGCGAUGAAGGCCUUCGGGUCGUAAAGCUCUGUUGUUAGGGAAGAACAAGUAUCGGAGUAACUGCCGGUACCUUGACGGUACCUAACCAGAAAGCCACGGCUAACUACGUGCCAGCAGCCGCGGUAAUACGUAGGUGGCAAGCGUUGUCCGGAAUUAUUGGGCGUAAAGCGCGCGCAGGCGGUCCUUUAAGUCUGAUGUGAAAGCCCACGGCUCAACCGUGGAGGGUCAUUGGAAACUGGGGGACUUGAGUGCAGAAGAGGAGAGUGGAAUUCCACGUGUAGCGGUGAAAUGCGUAGAGAUGUGGAGGAACACCAGUGGCGAAGGCGACUCUCUGGUCUGUAACUGACGCUGAGGCGCGAAAGCGUGGGGAGCGAACAGGAUUAGAUACCCUGGUAGUCCACGCCGUAAACGAUGAGUGCUAAGGGUUAGAGGGUUUCCGCCC
rnacentral:rRNA from 1 species